rnacentral:lncRNA from 1 species
AUUAGUCCUCCUUUGGGAGGCGCCCCUUGUACAGUUUUUAGCUCAGGUACCUCUCUCUCUCUCUCUCUCUCUCUCUCUCUCGUGGGUUUGUGUUGGAAAGGAAGGAGCUUUGGCCUCUCUGGUGUUUGGGGCCUUGAUGGGGUCGUCCCGUGUGUUUCUUCGUGGUAAUUAGUGCGUUUUUCAUUCUUCGGUUUGCAGAUCUUGAUGACAUGUGGGUUUCCGUUUAAAUCGGAGCUGAGAUUUGGGGGAUCUGCGAAGCUUCCUUAAUUUCUUGGCCUGCCUGAAAUUCAUCUUUUCAAAGCAAGCAAGUUUUUUCUUUUUUCCUUUUAUAAAAAUUUGUUUUAGGUCCGUUUCCGGACCCUAUGUUGCCAGAUCCAUGUUGGCAGAGCACAAAUCCUGCAGAUUCGCUAUCGCCCCAUUUUGGUCGUGACCUUCCCUCCAUGGAAUCGGGCUAAUUUCGCCAGUUCCGUCGGUUUCUUGGAGAACUUCUUGGGGAAAAAUUCGAGCCUGCCGAUUAAUCCGACGUUCGUGGUUGUUAUUUUUUUCGUUUGUCUUUUCUGGGUCCGAGUCAAGAUGCUAUCUUGAGUUCUCUGUUGCGAAAUCGAGUAAUUAACAGGACAUAAUUCACUGGCCAGAUCUUCAUCGUGAAACUGCUCGGCAUCUAUAGCACGCCGUCCAAAUUAACUGAUGUAAUUUACAGAGGUCCUGUUUUGUAUUGCCCCUUCCCCAUCAAAGGUUCUUGCCUUAACUCCGAUCUAUUUCUGUGGACAGGAACUUGUAUACACAAAUAUCAACUCGGAGAGAGCGUAAAUUUAUCUUUCAAGAACAGCGAAAAAUGAAUCCCUGUUCGAUCCAGCAAAGUGCGUUCGUGUCCCGCGAAGAAAUGAGGAGAGAGGCGGUGGUUUGUCCGAAGCCUCGCCGUCU